CAAUGUAGAAGGAAAUGAUCUUCAUUUGCCCUGCAUGAUAUCAUCUGUCUUGGGCCUAACAAUUUUCUAACAAUUAUUGACUGUGAAGGUGUACAGAGUGGACUCCAAGCACACAGAGGAGUGUGGCGUGGGAAAAUGCAAGAAGCCUGGACUCCUGAAAAGCAUGUGGAGCCGAACUUCUAGUUCCACCCGUUUGUCACUCCUAAUCCAUACUGAGAUCAAAAAGAGUUCUGCCUCCUCUGGGUGGAUCCAUUCCUGCAUAUUUACACCUUAUAUAUAAAAUAUCAAAGUUACUGGAAAGAAGAUGAGAAAAUGAUAUAUGGUUUUGUUGGACUCAGCAUUUGUA